CGGGACACGUGGUAUCCUGUCUGAAUAUGGGGGGACCAUCCUCCAAGGCUAAAUACUCCUGACUGACCGAUAGUGAACCAGUACCGUGAGGGAAAGGCGAAAAGAACCCCGGCGAGGGGAGUGAAAAAGAACCUGAAACCGUGUACGUACAAGCAGUGGGAGCCUCUUUAUGGGGUGACUGCGUACCUUUUGUAUAAUGGGUCAGCGACUUAUAUUCUGUAGCAAGGUUAACCGAAUAGGGGAGCCGAAGGGAAACCGAGUCUUAACUGGGCGUUAAGUUGCAGGGUAUAGACCCGAAACCCGGUGAUCUAGCCAUGGGCAGGUUGAAGGUUGGGUAACACUAACUGGAGGACCGAACCGACUAAUGUUGAAAAAUUAGCGGAUGACUUGUGGCUGGGGGUGAAAGGCCAAUCAAACCGGGAGAUAGCUGGUUCUCCCCGAAAGCUAUUUAGGUAGCGCCUCGUGAAUUCAUCUCCGGGGGUAGAGCACUGUUUCGGCAAGGGGGUCAUCCCGACUUACCAACCCGAUGCAAACUGCGAAUACCGGAGAAUGUUAUCACGGGAGACACACGGCGGGUGCUAACGUCCGUCGUGAAGAGGGAAACAACCCAGACCGCCAGCUAAGGUCCCAAAGUCAUGGUUAAGUGGGAAACGAUGUGGGAAGGCCCAGACAGCCAGGAUGUUGGCUUAGAAGCAGCCAUCAUUUAAAGAAAGCGUAAUAGCUCACUGGUCGAGUCGGCCUGCGCGGAAGAUGUAACGGGGCUAAACCAUGCACCGAAGCUGCGGCAGCGACGCUUAUGCGUUGUUGGGUAGGGGAGCGUUCUGUAAGCCUGCGAAGGUGUGCUGUGAGGCAUGCUGGAGGUAUCAGAAGUGCGAAUGCUGACAUAAGUAACGAUAAAGCGGGUGAAAAGCCCGCUCGCCGGAAGACCAAGGGUUCCUGUCCAACGUUAAUCGGGGCAGGGUGAGUCGACCCCUAAGGCGAGGCCGAAAGGCGUAGUCGAUGGGAAACAGGUUAAUAUUCCUGUACUUGGUGUUACUGCGAAGGGGGGACGGAGAAGGCUAUGUUGGCCGGGCGACGGUUGUCCCGGUUUAAGCGUGUAGGCUGGUUUUCCAGGCAAAUCCGGAAAAUCAAGGCUGAGGCGUGAUGACGAGGCACUACGGUGCUGAAGCAACAAAUGCCCUGCUUCCAGGAAAAGCCUCUAAGCAUCAGGUAACAUCAAAUCGUACCCCAAACCGACACAGGUGGUCAGGUAGAGAAUACCAAGGCGCUUGAGAGAACUCGGGUGAAGGAACUAGGCAAAAUGGUGCCGUAACUUCGGGAGAAGGCACGCUGAUAUGUAGGUGAAGCGACUUGCUCGUGGAGCUGAAAUCAGUCGAAGAUACCAGCUGGCUGCAACUGUUUAUUAAAAACACAGCACUGUGCAAACACGAAAGUGGACGUAUACGGUGUGACGCCUGCCCGGUGCCGGAAGGUUAAUUGAUGGGGUUAGCGGUAACGCGAAGCUCUUGAUCGAAGCCCCGGUAAACGGCGGCCGUAACUAUAACGGUCCUAAGGUAGCGAAAUUCCUUGUCGGGUAAGUUCCGACCUGCACGAAUGGCGUAAUGAUGGCCAGGCUGUCUCCACCCGAGACUCAGUGAAAUUGAACUCGCUGUGAAGAUGCAGUGUACCCGCGGCAAGACGGAAAGACCCCGUGAACCUUUACUAUAGCUUGACACUGAACAUUGAGCCUUGAUGUGUAGGAUAGGUGGGAGGCUUUGAAGUGUGGACGCCAGUCUGCAUGGAGCCGACCUUGAAAUACCACCCUUUAAUGUUUGAUGUUCUAACGUUGGCCCCUGAUCGGGGUUGCGGACAGUGUCUGGUGGGUAGUUUGACUGGGGCGGUCUCCUCCUAAAGAGUAACGGAGGAGCACGAAGGUUGGCUAAUCCUGGUCGGACAUCAGGAGGUUAGUGCAAUGGCAUAAGCCAGCUUGACUGCGAGCGUGACGGCGCGAGCAGGUGCGAAAGCAGGUCAUAGUGAUCCGGUGGUUCUGAAUGGAAGGGCCAUCGCUCAACGGAUAAAAGGUACUCCGGGGAUAACAGGCUGAUACCGCCCAAGAGUUCAUAUCGACGGCGGUGUUUGGCACCUCGAUGUCGGCUCAUCACAUCCUGGGGCUGAAGUAGGUCCCAAGGGUAUGGCUGUUCGCCAUUUAAAGUGGUACGCGAGCUGGGUUUAGAACGUCGUGAGACAGUUCGGUCCCUAUCUGCCGUGGGCGCUGGAGAACUGAGGGGGGCUGCUCCUAGUACGAGAGGACCGGAGUGGACGCAUCACUGGUGUUCGGGUUGUCAUGCCAAUGGCACUGCCCGGUAGCUAAAUGCGGAAGAGAUAAGUGCUGAAAGCAUCUAAGCACGAAACUUGCCCCGAGAUGAGUUCUCCCUGAGACUUUAAGUCUCCUGAAGGAACGUUGAAGACGACGACGUUGAUAGGCCGGGUGUGUAAGCGCAGCGAUGCGUUGAGCUAACCGGUACUAAUGAACCGUGAGG
rnacentral:rRNA from 1 species